GGGGAAUUUUGGACAAUGGGCGCAAGCCUGAUCCAGCCAUUCCGCGUGAGUGAAGAAGGCCUUCGGGUUGUAAAGCUCUUUCGGCGGGGAAGAAAUCGCACUUGCUAAUACCUUGUGUGGAUGACGGUACCUGAAGAAGAAGCACCGGCUAACUACGUGCCAGCAGCCGCGGUAAUACGUAGGGUGCGAGCGUUAAUCGGAAUUACUGGGCGUAAAGCGUGCGCAGGCGGUUUUGUAAGACAGAUGUGAAAUCCCCGGGCUCAACCUGGGAACUGCGUUUGUGACUGCAAGACUAGAGUACGGCAGAGGGGGGUGGAAUUCCUGGUGUAGCAGUGAAAUGCGUAGAUAUCAGGAGGAACACCGAUGGCGAAGGCAGCCCCCUGGGUCGAUACUGACGCUCAUGCACGAAAGCGUGGGGAGCAAAC
rnacentral:rRNA from 1 species